UGGGUUGGAGCUGUGCAUUCUUGA
rnacentral:miRNA from 1 species